rnacentral:tRNA from 1 species
GGGAGCGGAUGGGCACUGGUGUGUUCCGUGGGCUUCAAACCCAUUGGCGGGCUCUAAUCAAGUCCGCGGUAGGUUCAAUCCCUACACGCUCCCGCCA